GUAGCAGGAAUCCCUAUUUACUGGCCAACUGACCCCCACAAAUCUUGGGGGUCCAUGUUUUUGGCCUCCACCCUUCUUCUGGUCAGCUGCUGGCUUUGUCCCUACUCCUGACCUCAUCUGGUUAGUAUGAUGGAGUUCAGGACAACUUGGGGAUGGAGAGGUGGAGAAUAAUCCUCAGAGAGGAUUUCCUUAGUAAAUGGCUUCUUUCAAAGUCCAGUCUACAAUAUUUGAGCUGAAUAAGAGAUUCAGGGGUUCACUAGGAAGCAGUUGAUGUCCAGGGGGAUCCCCAUCCUCAGAGGUUCUUUUCUCAGGCUCUCAGCUAGAGGAGUGAAGUUGAGCUGGUGGUUUUGAGUUCUCACAGCUUCUGCUCUCUCCCUGGAAUCUUGGUGGUGGUUUUUUUUUUUCCUUUCUGCCCCAGCAAGGCUGUUCCUUGCUCUACUGGAUCUGAUUUCUCGCUUUUGCUUUUUCAUCUCUAACAGAGGGAAGGAAAGAAGGAAGGAAGGAAGGAAGGAAGGAAGGAAGGAAGGAAGGAAGGAAGGAAGGAAGGAAGGAAGGAAGGAAGGAAGGAAGGAAGGAAGGAAGGAAGGAAGGAAGGAAGGAACAAUGGAACAAAGGAAGAAGGAGAAAGAGGAGGAGGGAAUGGAACAAGGAUUCAGAUCCUGGUUCUGACACUUUCCACCUUUAUGGUCUCAGAUGAAAUGCAUAUCCCCAUCCAGUUGCUCUUCGGAAGCUGAGAGAUUUGCAUAUUAUAUAGAAGAAAAGUACCUGUUUGUAAAAGAAACAUGAAGAUUAAAAAGACCAGAGAGUUGGUGGAUAUAUUAAAACUAUAAGAGCUUCUUAACCCUCUUUUGGCCAGGCACAAGCUCAUCACUUCUCUUAAUGAUAACAAAAAGUCAAAAGAAACAAAACAAUAACAAAAAAAAAACAGAUUAGCACAUAAGGAUGCUUCCUUAAACUGAAAUAAAACCAAAGCUAAUGAUGUGUAACUGACUUCU
rnacentral:lncRNA from 1 species